UCCCACUGCAACUCCGACUGCUUUGGUUCCGUGGAGAGUAGUGAGGAAAGAUAGUAUCUGAGAUUGACUGGCUGCCUCACCUGAGAAUUCGCCACGCACAUGGGUUGAUUAUUUCCUCCCUGCUUUGAAAAGUGAAGAAGUUGCAUGGAGGGAGUUAGAGGAUGGAAUACCAGGUUCUCAAACGUCACGAGCUUCGUCUGUGGUCACUUCUCAAAGGCAGUUCACACUGGGAAAUAGGGCUGCCCAGCCUUCCAAGCCCAACCAGGGCACUUGGCUGAAUGUAAGUGGUCGUGGCCAGAUUUUUCCUGAGGCAUCUUCGUACAGAGAAGGUGAAAUCCAGAAGUCAACUC